rnacentral:misc_RNA from 1 species
UUGAUUCAUUCGCCCACCGCUGUCGCGGGGAGAAGAGUCCACUCAGAGGAAAUGCCACCUGUCAAAUGCAGUAGAAGAGUUUCUUCGGGGGUCCUGCGGCGGGCGCACUUGGUGUCCGGGGCGCACGCGCUGGGGCGGGCGCCGCCGGGGCGAGUCCCCGCCGAGGCAACAGUUGAGGUUAAGGUUCACAUGGGGUUUGGGAGUUUGUAAACUCGGUAAUGAUCCCUCCGCUGGUUCACCAACGGAGA